UGAUGAGACGGAUGGAGUUCGGCGCCAGUUGCGCCGGACAGAGUCCGUAAUAAUCUAAUAAAUUCCGGACGAACUCCGGAAUCGGAAGCCGAAGACCCGCGCGAAGGUCUUCAACAUACAGCGCCAGAUCGCCGGGCGGAGGGCUGUUAACCCGACCGCCGGCUCCUGGAGCGGAGAGCCGGAACUGCUCCGGGAUGCGAUAUUGCUCCCGAAGCCGAUCGACAUUCGGCCCCGAAAGCGAGGAGACCUCUACUUCCGGAGUCGACCGGGAGUCGUCGGUCGGGUUUCCCGACCGACCUCCCCGAGUCGGAUUUCCGGCCAUUGCACCGGAACCGAACAGGAAAAGA
rnacentral:lncRNA from 1 species